rnacentral:rRNA from 1 species
GAAGAGUUUGAUCAUGGCUCAGAUUGAACGCUGGCGGCAGGCUUAACACAUGCAAGUCGAGCGGGGGAAGGUAGCUUGCUACCGGACCUAGCGGCGGACGGGUGAGUAAUGCUUAGGAAUCUGCCUAUUAGUGGGGGACAACAUCUCGAAAGGGAUGCUAAU